rnacentral:rRNA from 1 species
GACGAACGCUGGCGGCGUGCUUAACACAUGCAAGUCGAACGGAAAGGCCCUGCUUUUGUGGGGUGCUCGAGUGGCGAACGGGUGAGUAACACGUGAGUAACCUGCCCUGGACUUUGGGAUAACUUCAGGAAACUGGGGCUAAUACCGGAUAGGAGCUCCUGCUGCAUGGUGGGGGUUGGAAAGUUUCGGCGGUUGGGGAUGGACUCGCGGCUUAUCAGCUUGUUGGUGGGGUAGUGGCUUACCAAGGCUUUGACGGGUAGCCGGCCUGAGAGGGUGACCGGCCACAUUGGGACUGAGAUACGGCCCAGACGCCUACGGGAGGCAGCAGUGGGGAAUAUUGCACAGUGGGCGGAAGCCUGAUGCAGCAACGCCGCGUGCGGGAUGACGGCCUUCGGGUUGUAAACCGCUUUCGCCUGUGACGAAGCGUGAGUGACGGUAAUGGGUAAAGAAGCACCGGCUAACUACGUG